AUUGAACGCUGGCGGCAUGCCUUACACAUGCAAGUCGAACGGCAGCACGGGUGCUUGCACCUGGUGGCGAGUGGCGCACGGGUGUGUAAUACAUCGGAACAUGUCCUGUAGUGGGGGAUAGCCCGGCGAAAGCCGGAUUAAUACCGCAGACGAUCAACGGAUGAAAGCGGGGGCCCUUGGGGCCGCGCGCUCUAGUGUUGGUCGAUGGCUGAUUCGCUAGUUGGUGGGGUAAAGGCAUACCAAGGCGACGAUCAGUAGCUGGUCUGAGAGGACGACCAGCCACACUGGGACUGAGACACGGCCCAGACUCCUACGGGAGGCAGCAGUGGGGAAUUUUGGACAAUGGGCGAAAGCCUGAUCCAGCAAUGCCGCGUGUGUGAAGAAGGCCUUCGGGUUGUAAAGCACUUUUGUCCGGAAAGAAAUACUUGGCCCUAAUACGGUCGGGGGAUGACGGUACCGGAAGAAUAAGCACCGGCUAACUACGUG
rnacentral:rRNA from 1 species